UACGUAGGGUGCAAGCGUUGUCCGGAAUUAUUGGGCGUAAAGAGCUCGUAGGCGGUCUGUCGCGUCUGCUGUGAAAAUCCAGGGCUCAACCCUGGACCUGCAGUGGGUACGGGCAGACUAGAGUGCGGUAGGGGAGACUGGAAUUCCUGGUGUAGCGGUGAAAUGCGCAGAUAUCAGGGAAGAACACCCGUGGCGGAAGGCGGGCUCUCUGGGAGCGGUAC
rnacentral:rRNA from 1 species